ACACCGGCAGCUCAAGUGGUAGCCGCUUUUAUUGGGCCUAAAGCGUCCGUAGCCGGUCUGAUAAGUCUCUGGUGAAAUCCCACCGCUUAACUGUGGGAAUUGCUGGAGAUACUAUCAUGACUCGAGGUCGGGAGAGGCUGGAGGGACUCCCAGGGGAGGGGUGAAAUCCUGUAAUCCUGGGAGGACUACCUGUGGCGAAGGCGUCCAGCUGGAACGAACCUGACGGUGAGGGGCGAAAGCCAGGGGCGCGAACCGGAUUAGAUACCCGGGUAGUCCUGGCCGUAAACGAUGUGGACUUGGUGUUGGGAUGGCUUCGAGCUGCCCCAGUGCCGAAGGGAAGCUGUUAAGUCCACCGCCUGGGAAGUACGGCCGCAAGGCUGAAACUUAAAGGAAUUGGCGGGG
rnacentral:rRNA from 1 species